rnacentral:lncRNA from 1 species
UGUAGGAUAUGUUUGGAUCAUGAAUUGUGCAGGGAUUUGUAGAGGGAAAAGGAGAAGGAAAGGGAAAAGAUAGGGAAACAAAAUGAAGUAGAAAUUAAAUUUGUCUCUGUUUUGGUUUCGAUUAGGACAAUGCGAAGAAAACAAAUAUAGAUACUUUCAGAAAAUCCUAUUAUUUUGGCUAAGUUACCUGCAAAAGUAGUGUGUACAGGUACUUGUAUUUUCCUUCGUUUUUGUUUCCCUUCACAAAUCCAAGAUCCAAACGUAGCCUUACUACAAGCCAUAUAGAAGCCUCGAAAGGGAUUGAGUAGAAUUUUGUUUCACACUUUGAAUCCAACUAGGGCAAAGGCCCAUAUCAGUUGAGGAUUUUGGAUGGUCCUCCUGUGAGGUCAUGUGCAAGUUAACAAUUUCAAACUCCAAAAAUUCCUUUGGCAGGCUGUGUUGUAAUGUAUUUUUGACUUCGUUUAUCGCAUAUUUACCUUGUAUUGGAUUUAUUUGUAAUGUAUUUUUGACUUCGUUUAUCGCAUAUUUACCUUGUAUUGGAUUUAUUUGUAAUGUAUUUUUGACUUCGUUUAUCGCAUAUUUACCUUGUAUUGGAUUUAUUCUUUAUCUUUCGACAUUUUCUGGGG